rnacentral:rRNA from 1 species
CGAGUGCGUUCAGAGUUUGAUCCUGGCUCAGGAUAAACGCUGACAGAAUGCUUAACACAUGCAAGUCGGUGAUGGGAAGCUAAGCCUAGCUUAGAAGAAGUCAUGGCGGACGGGUGAGUAACGUGUAAAGAACUUGCCCUCUAGACUGGGAUAACAGAUAGAAAUUCUUGAUAAUACUAGAUAUAAUGUUUAUAUGGCAUCAAAUAGACAUGAAGGGAAGAGAUUUGCUAAAGGAGAGCUUUGCAUCCUAUUAGCUAGUUGGUAAGGUAAAGGCUUACCAAGGCUAGGAUAGGUAGCCGGCCUGAGAGGGUGAACGGCCACAAGGGGACUGAGAUACGGCCCUU